rnacentral:rRNA from 1 species
GUACACGGUGGAUGCCCUGGCAGUCAGAGGCGAUGAAGGACGUGCUAAUCUGCGAUAAGCGUCGGUAAGGUGAUAUGAACCGUUAUAACCGGCGAUUUCCGAAUGGGGAAACCCAGUGUGUUUCGACACACUAUCAUUAACUGAAUCCAUAGGUUAAUGAGGCGAACCGGGGGAACUGAAACAUCUAAGUACCCCGAGGAAAAGAAAUCAACCGAGAUUCCCCCAGUAGCGGCGAGCGAACGGGGAGGAGCCCAGAGCCUGAAUCAGUGUGUGUGUUAGUGGAAGCGUCUGGAAAGGCGCGCGAUACAGGGUGACAGCCCCGUACACAAAAAUGCACAUGCUGUGAGCUCGAUGAGUAGGGCGGGACACGUGGUAUCCUGUCUGAAUAUGGGGGGACCAUCCUCCAAGGCUAAAUACUCCUGACUGACCGAUAGUGAACCAGUACCGUGAGGGAAAGGCGAAAAGAACCCCGGCGAGGGGAGUGAAAAAGAACCUGAAACCGUGUACGUACAAGCAGUGGGAGCAUGCUUAGGCGUGUGACUGCGUACCUUUUGUAUAAUGGGUCAGCGACUUAUAUUCUGUAGCAAGGUUAACCGAAUAGGGGAGCCGAAGGGAAACCGAGUCUUAACUGGGCGUUAAGUUGCAGGGUAUAGACCCGAAACCCGGUGAUCUAGCCAUGGGCAGGUUGAAGGUUGGGUAACACUAACUGGAGGACCGAACCGACUAAUGUUGAAAAAUUAGCGGAUGACUUGUGGCUGGGGGUGAAAGGCCAAUCAAACCGGGAGAUAGCUGGUUCUCCCCGAAAGCUAUUUAGGUAGCGCCUCGUGAAUUCAUCUCCGGGGGUAGAGCACUGUUUCGGCAAGGGGGUCAUC